ensembl:lncRNA
AGAAUCAGUUUUAUGUUGUCAAAUCAAUAAAAUAUUUAAAUUACAUUUAAAUGUAUUUGACAAAAUCACAAUUUGGAAUUGUUUCCUUUUUUGAACAGUGAAAUGUAUACAUUUAAAGAGAUGUACAACUUUUACAUUUCUGAAAGUUACUGACUUUUAUUUACAGCUGCCAACAUAGAUGAGGACUUGCUCCACACCCUCAGUAGGGACGACUUAAGGGACCUGCUUCCAGGGCCUGACAGUUGUGGGCUUAUGUUCACAAAGAGGAUGAAACUAAAGAAAAGGCGUCUCAUGGACAUCUCACCAUGUGACCAGGGAGAAGAUUAUGAUGAAGAUUCAAGUGGUGGAUCAAACAUGCUUUUGCCACCAAGGAGCAGUUCUGGUGACAAAAGUUUGGAAAACAACAUAGCCCUGUUCAGGGCACUACCAACUCUCUUCCCAUUACCAGCUGCACCACCCAAGAAGAUGGGACAUGCCAGUGAAGCACUGAUUCAUGUCCUUCAGAAGAUCCAGCGUCAGCCCUGUUCUGCUCUUUGAAGGGUCCCGCUGUUUUAUUGCAGUUGUAAUCACUCCCAUCACCACAUUUGCCAAAGAUGAACUUGGAGAAGGUUUGCUGUAUCUUAUGGCAUACUACUACACCCUGCAUCUCAC